CAGGGGGUUGGACUAGAAGAUCUCCAGGUACCUUCCAGCCCUGAAUUGAUUGCUGUGCUCUUUCAAGGUAUCCUCUGAAGCUGCGUCUAGUGCCAGGUGUAGCUGGGUGUUGGCUGCUGAAGGAGAUGUGUUCUGGUCUUUUUCCAAUACCAUGUGGUCGUAAUAGUCUGUUGAUUGUUUCUGAAAUGUUUGUUGAUGCAUUGUAGUCUGGCACACAAACCAACUAAAGCCUUCUAAAACAUCUUAAGUAAACCAAAUGAACCAGUCACCCAAGAAGAAAAAACAAGAGUCAUCUUCAACAUACAGCGCAAGGACCAUAAUAGUCACUAUGUAGGACUGACCGGCAGAAAAUUAGUAGAACUCAUCUAUAAGUCUGUUGGUGGCUAAUUUGUCUGAAUGCAAAGCUUCCAGGAAUUCCCCAGUGUGAACACCUACCAGCAGUCAGAAGACACAAUGAAAUCACAUGGACAGACUUAACAACCAUUUCAUCUGAGAAACUGUGAGCACCCUAGUCCCAAGACAACUCCAAAAACACUAGGGAAUUUCUGGAAGCUUUGCAUUCAGAUAAAUUAGCCACUAACAGACUGACAGAAAUAAACCAUAUUACAUACCAUUCAAAAAAGACAAUACAAGGCUAAAAAGGAAACAAAAAGUUUCUCUUUAGGAAACAAAACUCAGACUAGACUAAACCAAACUAAGUCUCUUUUGGUGAAGAAACUACAAUUGUCUUCCCCACACCAAAUCAACAGAUAACUCAUAUUAUCUCACAGACCAAUGGAAGAAUGGCCGGCCUCUACCACAAGCUUCAGGGGUUCUUUCAGUUAUUCGUUUUGUGAGUCAGUGUGGCCACACAAUGAACUUUAAGAUGAUUACUCAGUUUAUCUGAGCUUCCACUGCAUAUGCCACAAGCUGAGUAACAGCUGGAUUUCCUUGCAUCGUUCUCUUAUAAACAGCAUAUAGUAACAAUAAAACCGGUUUUCUUAGUCUCCUAUAA